GAACCACAGGAGCAUCAAGGGAAGAAUUCUUUGAUGGUUGCUACAAUAAUUCCAGCUGUGUAUACCUCCUGGGAUCAUAAUAGAAAUGAACCUCUGAAGCAUCUUACUGAAGAAGGCCCCUACGUUGACUGUCCAGCUGACUGUCUCUACCCGACUGCUGUCCCACACAAUAUGGGCCAGGCGAUGGUAUUGCCUUUGCAAACUAAAUGAAGUUCCUCAAAGUGAAGCUGGUGGCGACUUCAGAGUUAACUUUUCAAAUGGCCGGGCUUAUAUAGAAUAACCUUUGUAAAAGUAAACUAUGAUCAUAUAAUAAGAUACAUGUGCAUUUGGAACGCCACUGCUUUUGGAACCUGUCUCAGUUUUUAUCAUCAUACAAGGUUAAUUGUCUAAUGUCAAUUAGAUUUUAUCACAGUGCAUUUGGGUCCUAAUCUGGAACAAUAAAAGUCUAUUAAACAGCAAACUUUGUAGAUGUAUUUCCUAAAGAUGUAUUUCCUUUUUACCUGAGGUUAAUUUUUUUUUUCUGCUUGCUCUGUCACCCAGGCUGGAGUGCAGUGGCAUGAUCUCG
rnacentral:lncRNA from 10 species